CCAAGCCGGCACCUCCCCAGCCCUCCUGCCCAGCCCUGUGCUCCGGGAAACAUUUCGGGAACAUUUAAAAACAAAACAUUUUUCAACCAAACCUUUAGAAGCACAGACCGCGCCCAGAGCCCGUCCGCCUUGAAACCCGACACUGACACCCGCUGGCCUCCAGUUCAUCCAAGAAAAUGUCUUCAUGGGCGAAGGGCUUUCUCCUCAACAGGAAGGCCAGCCACCGAGUGACAACAUGAAGAGCCUCACCACCAUCAUCAUCAUCAUCACUGCCUGAGGUUUUAGCCGCCGCCUCCACACCUGCCCAGGGACUGGCCCCGCCUCCAGCUCCCGCCCAGCGGCUGGCAUAGCCCCUUCCCACCACGUCCGGAAACUGACCGGCAGGAGGGAGUGUGGGCAACGCACCCAUGCGGACCAGUCAUCGCUCCAAACGCCCAUCCCGGAGAAACAGCGUCUCAGGACAGGCGAGUGCCCCCCCGACGGCCCGGCAGAGGCCGCAGGAGCCGCAGGAGCGCCCCUCGGAGGGGAACACAGACGCGGGUCUCCGGGACCAGGCGGACCAGGCGGACGGAGGUGGAGUCCACUCCCUCCUGAGCACUGGGAGUCAGGGGCGAGCUGAGCCCCGACCUGGCAGCCGUCCCUGACCCCGAGCCCGGGUCACCCCGUCAGACACGGGGGAGGACGAGGGGCCUCCUGCUCACAGGCCGAGGGGGCUCUGCUGGCAUCACCGCUUCUCCUUCAUGCGCUCACACAAGGAAGUCGCCCUGUGCCCACGGCGCCAGGCCCGGCCCUCCACCCGGGACGAGUGGGAAGGAGACUCAAACCAAACGGGAGGCCGGGUCCACGUCUGCAGAGUCCACUAGAAUAGAUCCCCGGCACCGCCCUGGGCUCCGUGGGCUCUGUGGGUGCUUAAUUCUUAUUCUUAUUUGGUCAAUCCUCACCGGAAGGUAUUUUUCCAUUGACUUUUAAGGGAGGGAGGGAGGGAGGGAGGGGAACAUCGAUGUGAGAGACACAGCAAUUGAUUGCCUCCCCCACAGCCUCCACCGAGGUGGUGCCCUUGAAUGGAAUAGAACGGGACCCCCCAGUCUGCGGGCCGGCGCUCUAACCAUUGAGCACACCCUCUAGGGCUUGUGGGUGCUUUAGACUGAGCUUCAAGGGCAGGCAGGUGAGACAGCCACGCUCCUCACGCUUCUGCCUUGCUCUGCCCCCCAAACGCCCGCUUCCCUCAGCCCUGUGCUCCCGGCUGACCAGCUCCA